GACGAACGCUGGCGGCGUGCCUAAUACAUGCAAGUCGAACGCUUCUUUCCUCCCGAGUGCUUGCACUCAAUUGGAAAGAGGAGUGGCGGACGGGUGAGUAACACGUGGGUAACCUACCCAUCAGAGGGGGAUAACACUUGGAAACAGGUGCUAAUACCGCAUAACAGUUUAUGCCGCAUGGCAUAAGAGUGAAAGGCGCUUUCGGGUGUCGCUGAUGGAUGGACCCGCGGUGCAUUAGCUAGUUGGUGAGGUAACGGCUCACCAAGGCCACGAUGCAUAGCCGACCUGAGAGGGUGAUCGGCCACACUGGAACUGAGACACGGCCCAGACUCCUACGGGAGGCAGCAGUAGGGAAUCUUCGGCAAAGGACGAAAGUCUGACCGAGCAACGCCGCGUGAGUGAAGAAGGUUUUCGGAUCGUAAAACUCUGUUGUUAGAGAAGAACAAGGACGUUAGUAACUGAACGUCCCCUGACGGUAUCUAACCAGAAAGCCACGGCUAACUACGUG
rnacentral:rRNA from 1 species